AUGGAUAAGCUUCGGAGGAACUUUUUGUGGCGCUCCAAACCUGAUUCUGACAAGGGCAUGGCUCUCGUCAACUGGAGCAUUGUUUGUCGCCCCAAGCGGCUGGGGGGCCUUGGGGUGCUCGAUAUCCAACGCUUCAGCAGAGCUCUUCGUCUCAGGUGGAAAUGGCUUUCCUGGACUGACAAGGAGCGCCCCUGGGCCGGCACCGAGAUUCCAUGCGACAAGGAUGACAUUGCACUAUUCUAUGCCUCCACCACGGUGGCCAUCGGAAAUGGACUGACUGCCAACUUUUGGAAUGACAAGUGGCUCAACGGACAUGUGCCACGGCUCCUUGCUCCAGAUAUCUUCAGGUUGUGCUCCCACAAGAAUAUCUCUGUCUAUGAUGCCAUCUCUAAUAAUAAGUGGCUGCUAGGCUUACAUCGGAUCUCUGACAUCUCGCAGCUUCGCCAGUUUGCUCUACUUUGGAACCAAAUUCGGCAGGUAACGCUUGACCCUCUCACUGCUGACUCCAUUUCCUGGGUAUGGAACAGCUCCAAGUCCUACUCAGCUUCUUCUGCAUACCAGUGCCAAUUCCUUGGAUCGUUCUGCCCAAGACGGUUUGAUAGGCUGUGGACUGCGAAGGUGGAAGCCAAGUGCAAAUUCUUCAUGUGGCUGUGGCUGCAGGGUCGGAUCCUUACGGCCAACAACCUUGCCAUCAGGGUAAUUCCUCAUGAUGAUAUCUGCUGCUUCUGCGACCAGGCCGAUGAGACGCCCACCCAUCUAAUCCUAACAUGCCCUUUCGCCAAGGGCGUCUGGACCAUGGUAGGAAACAGCCUUGGCCAGCCUGCUCUUGCAACAAACGCUCAGACCGCGACUUCCAUCGAGCACUGGUGGGACGACUUGACCUCGGGCCUGUGA
rnacentral:rRNA from 1 species